CCUACGGGCGGCUGCAGUGGGGAAUUUUGCGCAAUGGGGGAAACCCUGACGCAGCAACGCCGCGUGAGUGAUGAAGGCCUUCGGGUCGUAAAGCUCUGUCAGAGGGGAAGAAGUGUGGGGUGGCUAAUAUCCAUUUCACUUGACGGUACCUUCAAAGGAAGCACCGGCUAACUCCGUGCCAGCAGCCGCGGUAAUACGGAGGGUGCGAGCGUUGUUCGGAAUUAUUGGGCGUAAAGCGCGUGUAGGCGGUUUUUUAAGUCUGAUGUGAAAGCCCUGGGCUCAACCCGGGAAGUGCAUUGGAAACUGGGAGACUUGAAUACGGGAGAGGGCAGUGGAAUUCCUGGUGUAGGAGUGAAAUCCGUAGAUAUCAGGAGGAACACCGGUGGCGAAGGCGGCUGCCUGGACCGAUAUUGACGCUGAGACGCGAAAGCGUGGGGAGCAAACAGGAUUAGAUACCCCGGUAGUC
rnacentral:rRNA from 1 species